AACAGGGUCUCCACUGUCUGGACUGUCUGUACUGUCUGCCAUGUGUGCUGCAUGCAUGUUGAAUGGCAGUGGGUUCUUUGACGGGGGAAGGGGGGGGUUUCCAUACAGAGAUCUUUGGCUUUGCCAUUCAUCUGAACAGGAAAUGCAGAUACCAUUUGCAUUACAUGGCGACACAUGUCGCUGAUCCACAACUUCGACUUCAGCUCCAACUUCAACUCCAACUCCUUUUCUUUUCUCCGUAUUCAAGUCAGCUCCAAUAAAUUCAAACUCAGCUGGCAGCAGUCAGACGUCAAAGCAUCGAUGACACUCCUCUAUCGUUGGGAUCCAUCGAUAAAACUGCUAUUCCGAAGGAGCAGGUGUUUGGCUUCGCGCCCGAUGGAACUGGAGAACUGAAGAACUGGUAUCACACCUACUGAGAAUACACACCAUCCAUCCAAUCACCGAUCCAAUUAAUACAUCUGGAGCAGUGUAAAUCCAACUUUGUUUGCAUAAUUGGAUUAACAAGCGCCAAGUUUCAAGCUGGCCAACUAAUCCACGGCAAUCAAUUUGCGGCUGGAAAUUAAUCAAGCAACCAUUGAUGAACAAAACACCUGGUGAAUGAUGCCACGAUGGUAUUUUCAUAAAUAAAGAAAUGGUUUUCUUUGCAACAAAUGUCGGAGUUUCGGAAAACCGUUUGGCCAACCGUUAUUCACUGAUAAAAGCGUCUGUGUUGCGCGUAUUUAGCAGCUGCAGCAACAUUAAGACCAUUAGCAAAGAUAUAUAUAUAUACAUAUGUAUAUAUAUAUAUACAAGUAUCGUGACGCGUGCCUGCUAAUCAGAGCUUAUGAAUCGCCGGGCCCCGGAUGAGUCAACACAACUCCGCCAGCCGAGCGGCAAUAAAAAAAAAGUAACUGGGAAAAAAAGAGGCGCACAGUCAGUAACGCUAAACAUAAAUUAAGAACAUCAAGAAAAAAAAAAGAAGGAGAACUAUAUAAAAAAAAAGAACUAAAAUAAAUAAAAAAUAUGACGGGGCACAGAGACUAAUAUGCGAGGAGCAGAGAAAUGAGAGAAACAGUCACGGGGGCACAAUAAUCAUAAUAAAUAAGCUGGGGCAACACAGCAAACAGAAACAGUUGAUGCCACAAAAGGCGUUGGCUCCUGAACAGAGGAGGAAAAAAAAAGAGAAAUGAAACAUAAAAUUGGCCAAAGGACGAUGGCCUGGGCGUUGGCUUAAAAGCAAAUCGCAGAUGGCUGAUUAACAUCAAAUGAAAGGCAAACGAAAAUGAAAUGAAAACACACAUAAAACGAGUAAUGAGAAAUGAGUGCCAAAAUUGCACAGGGAAAUACAAAAUCAGUUUGAAUCUGAUAACAAAUAAGUCACGAAAAACUGUCAUUAAGCAGAAACCAAGGAAGUAUCUUGGC